GUGUGCGCGAGUCAUUGGGUGCAAACCUAAAGGCGCAAUGAAAGUGUCAGUGGGGGAUCCUACGGGACCGCCUCCCGCUGGGAGGAUGGGCUGCCGUGCAGACACCUGCCGGCGCCCCGCACUCCCGGGGCGUCUCGUUCUCUUAACGAGUGGAGACGCACCAUGAGCGCACACGCUGGUACCCGAAAGAUGGUGAACUAUGCCUGGCCAGGACGAAGCCAGGGGAAACCCUGGUGGAGGUCCGAAGCGAUUCUGACGUGCAAAUCGAUCGUCUGAGCUGGGUAUAGGGGCGAAAGACCAAUCGAACCAUCUAGUAGCUGUUUUCCUUGCGGA
rnacentral:rRNA from 1 species